UUAUUGUGAAGUAUCACGGACUCUCCUUAAGUCUGUUUCCUGUGUCUCUCAAGAGAUGAAGGAGAAAAGGCCCAUCUCUGUGGGUGUUGAACCAUGGGAGCAGGGAGUAUCCUGACAAGGACUGAGAGGUUAAGGAAGGAGCUAGGCUCAAGAUUCAAGGGGACAUAUGCCUGACCACCCACCAGCCAACAAUGCAACUCUGGAUACAAGUGCCUGUGUCCUUCCUCCAGUUGCUGGAAUUUAGCUACUAGAUCUAUGCUCCAUCAGCUUCCAGGAGCUCCAACCAUGAUGUCCUGGUCAUGCUGGUCAAGAACGGUUCCCUCAUCCCAACCCCUGACUUGGGUUUGCAACAUGUCCUGGAACCUGGACCACCAGCACCAGGUGAGCCACCCAAGGGAAAUAAGCCCCUUUGGCUCCAUUUGCCCAUUUAUUAGGCUGAAUGGUCAUGUCUUAUCUUUUCCAGCAGAUGCUGUAACAAAAUUCCUGAACAGGAUGUGAAAGUGUUUCAGCUGAGCCUUGAGAGGUGAACGUACCUUGGCACCUGUCCCCUGGAUGGGACAACUUGAGGAAGGGCCAUCCAUAUUCCUGUUUCCUACCCAGGACACUGCUAAUGUGCAUAUGAGGAGAGAGUGGAAUGAAGUCAACCUCUGCUUUAUUCUCACAUUCUAUGAGUCUGGACAUCAUGAACGAGGAUGUUGGGAGGUCUGUAUCUAGCCUCCUGUAGCAGACUCAUCUCCCUCCUGACUUCUUCAUCUAAAGGUGUGUCUGUGGAUUCGAAUGCAGUCUUCCGUGCUGGUGAUGCCAGGUGUGCCAGAGAUUUGCUUGCCAAGGGACCAGGAGCCUCUGCUCUUACAUGUUGCAAAAUACUACUGUACACCAGCAUCCAGGUGCUAUUGCUUCCAGGUUCAUGUCUCCUGAUGAAUCCCAGGCUUUUGCAUACAAGUAAAGAAUUCAUAUUUCUCUCAACAAUUAACUAAAGAGGAGUAGAGGAAGAACCAGGUCUCCUAGUAAUCCCCACUUCUCAACAUAGACACAUUUG
rnacentral:lncRNA from 1 species